rnacentral:rRNA from 1 species
CACGUAGGGGACGAGCGUUGUCCGGAAUCACUGGGCGUAAAGCGCACGUAGGCGGCUUCUUAAGUCAGGGGUGAAAUCCUGGAGCUCAACUCCAGAACUGCCUUUGAUACUGAGGAGCUUGAGUCCGGGAGAGGUGAGUGGAACUGCGAGUGUAGAGGUGAAAUUCGUAGAUAUUCGGAAGAACACCAGUGGCGAAGGCGGCUCACUGGACUGGUAUUGACGCUGAGGUGCGAAAGCGUGGGGAGCAACAGG